rnacentral:pre_miRNA from 14 species
AAGCAAGAGCUCACCCGUGGUACCUGAAAAGAAGUUGCCCAUGUUAUUUUUCGCUUUUAUUUGUGACGAAACAAACAUGGUGCACUUCUUUUUCGAUAUCAAAACUCACCUUGGAGAGCU